rnacentral:rRNA from 1 species
GGGAGGCAUUAGGGGACCGACAGGGCUAGUAGCUUAUACGUUGUUGAACGUCCAGUAUGGACCCGAAGCCUCCCCCAUCUAAACCCUCUGCGUACCCGUCCCUUCUUGCUUCCCCCGGCAUCUCGUCGGGGGGAGGUAACAACCAAAACUCUUUGUGAAUCAAACAGCCGUCAGAAUUAUAAAACAAACAAAAAGUUAAAACUUUCAACAACGGAUCUCUUGGUUCCCACAUCGAUGAAGAACGCAGCGAAAUGCGAUAAGUAAUGUGAAUUGCAGAAUUCAGUGAAUCAUCGAAUCUUUGAACGCACAUUGCGCCCCCUGGUAUUCCGGGGGGCAUGCCUGUUCGAGCGUCAUAAAAACCUCCUCCCCCUUCGGGUUUUGUUACUAUCGUUGGGGGGUUUUGGCCUAAUGGGAUAGCGAUUGGCAAUUCGUUUCCCAAUGUCCUAAAUAGACGUAGACCCGCCUCCAGAUGCGACAGCACCGAGGCCAUCAACCGUGGAGUUAUGGGAUAUAAUAGGCUUGCAGUAAAAUGCUCACCUCUCUCCACACGCCGAUGGCACGACAGUUGCAGUUGCGGGCGUAAAUUGGAGCCCUUUU